GAUGAACGCUGGCGGCGUGCCUAAUACAUGCAAGUCGAGCGAACAGACGAGGAGCUUGCUCCUCUGACGUUAGCGGCGGACGGGUGAGUAACACGUGGAUAACCUACCUAUAAGACUGGGAUAACUUCGGGAAACCGGAGCUAAUACCGGAUAAUAUAUUGAACCGCAUGGUUCAAUAGUGAAAGACGGUUUUGCUGUCACUUAUAGAUGGAUCCGCGCCGCAUUAGCUAGUUGGUAAGGUAACGGCUUACCAAGGCGACGAUGCGUAGCCGACCUGAGAGGGUGAUCGGCCACACUGGAACUGAGACACGGUCCAGACUCCUACGGGAGGCAGCAGUAGGGAAUCUUCCGCAAUGGGCGAAAGCCUGACGGAGCAACGCCGCGUGAGUGAUGAAUGUCUUCGGAUCGUAAAACUCUGUUAUUAGGGAAGAACAAAUGUGUAAGUAACUAUGCACGUCUUGACGGUACCUAAUCAGAAAGCCACGGCUAACUACGUG
rnacentral:rRNA from 1 species